GGAAGUAAAAGUCGUAACAAGGUUUCCGUAGGUGAACCUGCGGAAGGAUCAUUCACACAUUAAAUUCACAUAACGUGAACCAGUCAGUUGUACUAAUUAUUUAGUGCAAUUGGCUAUAAACAUAUGUUGGGUUAAUUAUCAAGACUUACCUAAGCUUUAUUAACUAUCAGCGAUGGAUGUCUUGGCUCCCACAACGAUGAAGGCCGCAGCAAAAUGCGAAACGCAUUGUGAUUAGCGGAAUUCUGUGAAUCAAUAGGUCGCUGAACGCAAACGGCACUACUGCGUGAGCAGUAGUAGGUCUGUUUCAGUCUCAAUUGCAAUCUCACCAAACAACUUGUAUUAAGGUACAAGUUGCUAUUGGUGAGGUAAUGUGCUGCUCGAUACGUCUGGCAGUCGCAGUGUUCUAUAACUGUUCCUAAGUUAACAUAUUGGUUUCAACUAUGUUGCUAUGGGACUAUAAUGUUAUAGCGUACUAAACUACAUGAGCUGAAAUCAGACCAGGCUACCCGCUGGACUUAGGCAUAUUAGUCAGCGGAGGA
rnacentral:rRNA from 1 species